UUCUCAAGGGGAAUGCUUUUGGAUGUUGUCCACUCAGUAUGAUGUUGGCUGUGGAUUUGUCAUAGAUGGUUCAUAUUAUUUUAAGAUUGUUUUCAUACUGCAGAUAAAGACAUACCUGAGACUGUAAGAAAAAGAGGUUUAAUGGACUCACAGUUCCAUGUGGGUGGAGAGGCCUCACAACCAUGGCAACAGGUAAAAGUCACAUCUAUGUGGUGGCAGACCAGAGAGAAAGUGAGAGCCAAGUGAAGGGGGAAACUCCGUAUUAAACCAUCAGACCUUUUGAGACUUCUUCACUACCGUGAGAACAGUGUUGGGGAAACCCCCCUCAUGAUUCAAUUAUCUCCCGCUGGGUUUCUCCCACAACACAUGGGAAUUAUGGGAGCCCAAUUCAAGAUGAAAUUUGGGUGGGGACCCAGCCAAACCAUAUCACAAUUGAAUUCCAUUCACAUAGUUAAUGAACACUUCCCAGAUUUUUCUUAUCAGUGGGGAUACAGAAGUGACUGAGACCACAGUCCCUGCUCUGAAAUUGUGAUAAGUGUGGUGAGAAGAGGUGUAUAUUCGGGGACCGUGGGGGAUGUGUUGGCUUGGAGCCUGGGGGAAGGGUACCUCUGGUAAAAGGAUGGAGCACGACCAAGCACAGCCAGUUAAGAGUGUCAGUUCUGGAAUUAGACACACCUGCGCUGAAUUCCUGCCCCACCACUUCUUGUGUGAAUUGGGCAAAGGACAUAACGUUAUUAUGGUGACUGUGAAAUCAUGAUGGGAAAGGUGACACAGAGCAAAUGCUCAGUGCAUGUCAAUGUUCACGGUGAUGAUGAUGAUGAUGAUGACGAUGAUGACGACGAUGAGGAGGAAGAGCUGCACCACUCCAGCAUGCCUCUAAACCUGCAUGGGAGCAAUGCCUGGCAGAGCGCUCCCACAGACAUGAACUUUUCCAUUUCCUGUGAUUCACAUCCUUAUUUUGGUUUCUCAUUAUAUAAGACCCAGCUCUUCAUUUUGCCAUUUCAAAAUCCCCCAGUGCGCCUACCACUCAUCCUCGAUUUCCUUCUUCCAUAAGCCUCUUCCAAGAUCUCUUCUACACCUAUAGAAGCACAGAAAUAAAUCUCAUUUUGUUCAUUCUUCUCCUCCCCUAGAAGCUCAGGCGAGGAGCUAAGGAAUGUUCAACUCUGCGCCUUCUACUUCACUCCAGGAAAUUCCUGAGAGGAAUGAGAGGAAGGCAUUGGAGAAGCCAGUAGACAUCCAACAUGUGGUGAGGGCACUUCCAUCACUGUCCUUGGAAUCACAGUCUCAGGACUGAAGGCAAUUUUCAGUGUUGGCCGUUGGCUGGCCUAACCCCUUCCUGUGCUGAAACCCCUUUACAGGCACCCCUUUGGAGAGACUCUUCUCUUCAGCCAGACACCCAGUGCUCCAUUCUGACCCAGCUGCGACUAUGGGUGAAAUAUUAUGGCCGAAGCUAUGUUGCCUGGAAACAAAACUUCUAUGAUGUCAGAGCCCAACCAUUUGUAUGUUGAAAUUCUGUUGUUUGAAAUUACCACCUGGAGGAAACAUCCUAUUUUCUAUUACCUUCUUGAACACAUGGGAAGCUUCAAACAAUUCAAUGUGUUAAUAUCAGAUGCUUUUGAUGUAAAAGUGGUAGGAGAGACUGGGAGUCAGUUGGAUAUGAAUUUAAAGAAAAAUAACUAGUAACACAGAACUUGGCAACUUAUGUUCUUAUAAACAUGGACUAUUACAAACAUGACAAUUUCCAAUUGUCAUCACCCUAAAAUUUAUAUUCUAUGUACUAGGGAUGACAUAUAUUAAAUAUUCUGGUAUAUUUUUGUUAUAUAUUGAAACUGACCUGUAAUAAUUUUAAUGUUGUAAAUGAACACAGAAAUGAAAAGUUUGUACCUAAUGGGAAGAGAAGCAUCGCUUUAGACAUUAUGAGCCUUUGGGAUUUUCUUGUUUUCUGUGAAGAAAGGAGAAAUCUGAUUAUUUUCUGGGUUCGUAUUUGUUUAAGAAAUCAAGUCAUGUCUGAAGUGUGUCCUGUUGGGGUGAGCAAAAUAUUGCAGAUUUGCUCAACAAACAAGUUCAGAUGUUGGACAUCAAGAAAAAAAUUAAAAUUCAGGUGUAAAUUAAUCUUAUUCAUCUUCUUGGCCUUGUACUGGAAGGAAUUUCAAAUAAACAUCAUCUCAGCCUUU